AGCGGCAUUUUAAUAUAGUAAUUAUUUUCAAAUAAAUUACUUCAUUAUUAGACGUCAUCACUCAUCACACACCAGAGCUGUGUUCAAAAUCAAAAUAGAGAAGUCUGGAAGGAGCCACUGAGUUCUUAUUGGAUUUCGUCACAACUCCUUAAGCUUAUUUGGAAGGAUGAAUUACAAAACAUAUAAAGUAGGAUGGUACUCAAACACUUCGAUCUAUGGGUCCCCUUGGAGUAGGAUCUUUGAAAAAGAGAAGGUUUCACGGGAGUUUGGAUGAAUAUUUUGGGUACUCUUUCAUCUCUCUGCUAGUUUCAUUGACAGUAGAAAUUCUUAUAGGACAAAAUUAAACUAUAGAUUCUCCCAAUUAUUAAUGUAAAAUGUAUUAUAAACUUAUAGAUUAUUCUCAUUAAGAAUAUAGAUUGGAAACCUGUGAAAGACGUAGAUGGAGUUUUUUAAUAAUUUUCUAACUUUUUGAAAAAUCUUGAUUAAUCGUGGAUGAUAGCUAAAUUAUUGUGCCAAAUCAUGAUUUUCAUUAAUUUACUAUUGUGUUGAUUGGUUUAAUAGAAGUUACGAAUUAUAGAAUAAAAUAAAUAGUCACACUUA
rnacentral:lncRNA from 1 species